rnacentral:rRNA from 1 species
AGAGUUUGAUCCUGGCUCAGAACGAACGCUGGCGGCGUGGAUAAGACAUGCAAGUCGAACGCUGAUUAGAGGGUAGCAAUAUUCUCUAGUCGGAGUGGCGCAAGGGUGCGUAACACGUGGGUAAUCUGCCGUGAAGCUUGGGAUAACUCGCUGAAAGGCGAGCUAAUACCGGAUGAGAUGACUGUUUGGCAUCAGAUGGUCAUGAAAGCUGGGGACUGUCAAAGGCCUGGCACUUCACGAUGAGCCCGCGGCCUAUCAGCUAGUUGGUGAGGUAACGGCCCACCAAGGCUAAGACGGGUAGCUGGUCUGAGAGGACGACCAGCCACACUGGAACUGAGACACGGUCCAGACACCUACGGGUGGCAGCAGUCGAGAAUUUUUCACAAUGGGCGCAAGCCUGAUGGAGCGACGCCGCGUGGGGGAUGAAGGGUUUCGAUCCGUAAACCCCUGUCAUUUGCGAACAAUGGUCCAUUGAUAAUACCAGUGGGCUGAUAGUAGCGAAAGAGAAAGGCA